UGGAGGAGAAUCUGAUACGCUUGCUGUUUAACUAUCGGAGGACGCCGCAAAAGUGCGGUAAAUCCCCAGCAGAGUUACUCUUAGGUUACCAAAUACGCUCACGGUUGGACACAUGUUUUCCUCCAGCCCUUACAGGAUCAAAAGAAGACCAAGAGGACUGGCUGCCGCUACCAGGAAGUGACGUAUACGCCCGAAAUUAUGGUGCAGGGAGCAAAUGGACGCCUGGCAAUGUGAAGGCGACGUCUGGAGCGAGAAUGGUGACCGUGGACACUUCGGACGGGGUCGUCCAACGGCAUGUAGAUCAGCUUCGCCCGCGACAGGACUCGCGAAGUCUGCGACAGCACUCGCC
rnacentral:lncRNA from 1 species